GUCCUCUUGUUUAUAUAUGAGGUCUGACCUGCCCGGUGAAAUUUAUUUUAACGGCCGCAGUAUUUUGACUGUGCAAAGGUAGCAUAAUCAUUAGUCUUUUAAUAGGGGGCUGGUAUGAAGGGUUUGACGAGGUGUUAACUGUCUCAUUUAAUUUGUAUUUAGAAUUUAACUUUUCAGUUAAAAGGCUGAAAUUGUAUUGGAAGACGAGAAGACCCUAUAGAGCUUUAUAAUUAGUAUUUUAAUUGUUUUUUGUAAUAUAAAUUAUGAUUAUAAUUUUAAUUAUUUUGUUGGGGUGACAAAAAUAUAUAUUUAACUUUUUUAUUUAAUUGACAUUGAUUUAUGAAUGUUAGAUCCAGUCUUAUUGAUUGUUAGAUUAAGUUACC
rnacentral:rRNA from 1 species